rnacentral:misc_RNA from 1 species
AACGCACCUUGCACCCUUUGGUAUUCCAAAGGGUAUGCUCGUUUGAGUGUCAUUGUACUCUCGCACUUCUCUGAUUGAGAAAUGGUGGACUUGGGUGUUGCCGCUUUACUGUCAGGCUCAUCUGAAAUUGCUUAGUGCAACUCUGGUUUGGACAUAGUAAUUGUUUUAGUACUCCUACUACUACUACACUUACCACACAGCGUGAUAAGUAUCUUCGUUGUUGUGCCUCUCGGAGGGUGUCUAAUGAAGGAGCUCUGCGCUUCAAACCGUCUUCGGACACUAUCUGACAAAUUGACCUCAAAUCGAGUAGGAUUACCCGCUGAACUUAA